AUCGCUUAGUAAGGGAGUUGUAGGAGAGGGAGACGGAUCGGAUCGUUAUUCUCUACGCUUUCUCAAGCAGGAACCCCGAUCCAAGCGAGGGCACCAGCUCCCCUUCACUGCCUUAUUGAAGGGAGAAAGGAAAGAGCAAGGUGUAGCUGAUUAGCAAGUUAAUUAUUUCAGUACCCCAAGGGUUCAUGCGUGGUGGAGACAGCCUUGAAGGGCCAACUUCCGGACUCCAGCAGUGUGAGGAUGACAACAGUGCUCAGUAUGGCUGCCACCCCUGCAGAUGGAGGCAGGCUGGCAGCUGUCUGUUGGAGAAGGCAGUGCUGGUGACUACUGAGCUGGUAAUGAUAGUAUUUGUAGAAUAGGAGCGAGUGCAGUUGCUGUUUGGAUUAGGUUUAGCGUCUGUGGCCUCAGAGUGCUGGGUAGGACAGAAGGGAAUAGAGAAACCUCAAGGGCAGGAAGACUGGCAGAGGGAGGAGUUUUGUGGAUCAGUCUUUCCCAAGUGGAGCCUAGGGAUGGUAGCGACAGAACA